ACUUACCUGAACCAUUGGCAGUGGAUCAAGAUUCAACUUAGUAGAACAUUCUAAUGGACAUUCUACACUGCCCCUAGCUCUUGGGAAAUCCUCAUAAGGAGAAAAUAAACAUGUACACCAUAUUUACAGAAGUUAUAAUGAUUGGCAGAAAAUGAGCAAAGACAGUUGGAGAAAUACGUGGAAUCCUACAGCUGCGGAAAUACGCCGGGUACCUGCUGCAAAGUGGAAAUACUUAAGCUUCAGCAGCUGAGGUUGAACAGCCUGCAUUAUUAUUGAAAGAAGCAAAAGUCAUGCAUCUGCAUGUUGCCCGUUUCUAUCUUCUGUGAAGAUAAAUCAGGUUCAAUAGAACACAGAGAAAUUAAGUAAAUGCUGCAAAAUCAUAGAUUACUGAUGGCAAUGAGAAGAAGGAACAUGGACGAGGCUGAAGCUGUCAAAUUCAGAUCAUAUGGAGUCACUUUCAGAAGAGCAGUGGGUCUCAGAAGAACAGCAGAGGCCUCCAGACCCAAGGGACUCUGCAGACAGACAUCCCAUCCGAAGCUUCACGCUGCAGACUGGAACACGCGGCUCAGCAGUGGGUCCUCAGCUCCCCCAGGACCUGCAGCCCACCGCAGGUCUGGGCUCCCCUUCUGUGUGUUUUCUCCCAUUGCCCGGGUUAGCACAGGUCUCUGCUUUGUGGCUGGCUCCCUAGAAACUAUUGUUAAUAUUUAUUCUAAAAAGACACAAACAACCAAAGGUUUAAGGAGAUGGCAACAGAUUUAGUUGUUCUGUUACUUCUUAAAACAGGAACUGCUCAGGGAGAGAAUGUCCCUUCGGUAUUUCCUACACAACAUUUAUUUUUCAAGUUUUCCUGAUCAGGCUUCCGGUCUACAGGCUGCUGGGCUGAGAAUCUUAAGUCUAGAAACGCACACUGGCACUAGAGCCGGAAUCUGUCCUUGGCGGGUGACUGUCCGGAGGCUGGUGCCCUGAGCGGGAUGGGCAUCUUCCCUCCUUGACUCUAGCGCAUUCAGUCAGAGCUUUGUCAUUUAUAUUUGCUCAGCACAGUUAGUAAAAUGGAGUCUUCAAUGGCCACUCUGACUGCUCCGCGCCAAUUUCAAAGGCAGCCCUCAAAGGAGUAUAGUAAGGAAAAUGAGCAGAGUUUGUCAGAGGAGAAAGAGAAGUUGAGAGUUUGAAUUUCCCUUUUCCUUUUAUUAGUUCAGAAGUUGUUCUGUUUGCAUGACUGCGUGGAUUGGAUGCGGCACUUGUUACAAAUCUUUAUAAACCAUUUUCUGUGAUAUUGACAAUGAAAUCAUGUAAUGCAUUGCCUUUUAAAUUUGCUAUAGCUCCCUAGAGCAGGAAAAGAUUUGCCAGUGAAUAAAAGAA